rnacentral:lncRNA from 1 species
GGGCUGUUUUCAUGAAGGGCCUCCCUAAUAGAAUCGGCAAUGGGGUGGAAUGGGGUGAAUCCUCCAUGUCAAGCACGUAGAAAUCCGCUGGAAAAAUCAAGUUACCAACCUGCACCAAAACAUCUUCCAAAAACCCUUUGGAUAUGCAUUAGAACGAUCGGCUAAUUGAAUUAUCACACCAUCAUUUUUAAGCUCACCUAAGUUCAUAGAUGCAUAAAUCGAGUAUGGCAUAACAUUAAUCGAAGCCCCUAAGUCUAACAUGCAUUGUUCAACUUAGUAUUACAAGAACGCACGGAAUUGUAAAACUACCCGGAUCUUUGCAUUUAGGGGGUAAUUUCCUUUGUAACACAGCAGAGACGUUUUCACUUACCUGGACACCUCUUUGUUCGAAAUCCUUCUCCUUGUUGUACAAAGUUCUUUUAAGAACUUAGCAUACCUCGGGACUUGCUUAAUCGCAUCAAGGAGCGGGAUAUUGACUUGAACUUUCCGAAAGGUCUCUAGAAUAUCCUUCUCGGCUUCUUCCUUCUUUGAUUGCCUAAACCUGCCAGGAAAGGGCACAUUUAGUGGAAUAGAACUAGAAAAAGUCGAAUUGGGACUUACCUUGGUGGUUGGGCGAUUUAGGAGGUUAAAGGGUGGCGGCAAUGAUUGGUCAUCCUUGGCCGUGGGUUUUGCUCUUUGUACCUCCUCUUGCAUCAACUUGUCCUCCUCGUCUU